rnacentral:rRNA from 1 species
UACGGAGGGUGCAAGCGUUAUCCGGAUUUACUGGGUUUAAAGGGUGCGUAGGUGGGUCUGUAAGUCAGUGGUGAAAUCUUCAAGCUUAACUUGGAAACUGCCAUUGAUACUAUAGAUCUUGAAUUAUCUGGAAGGUAAGCGGAAUAUGUCAUGUAGCGGUGAAAUGCUUAGAUAUGACAUAGAACACCCAUUGCGAAGGCAGCUUACUACGGAUUGAUUGACACUGAGGCACGAAAGCGUGGGGAUCAAACAGG